GACGAACGCUGGCGGCGUGCUUAACACAUGCAAGUCGAACGGAAAGACCCUGCUUUUGUGGCGUUCUCGAUUGGCGAACGCGUGAGUAACACGUGAGUAACCUCCCCUUGACUGUGUGAUAACUUCAGGAAACUGGGGCUAUUAUCGGGUAGGAUCUCCUGCUGCGUGGUGGGGGUUGGAAAGUUUCGGCGGUGGGGGAUCGACUCGCUGCUUAUCAGCUUGAUUGUGUGGUAGUUGCUUACCAGGGGUUUGAAGGGUAGGCGGCCUGAGAGGGUGACCAGCCACAUUGGGACUGAGAGACGGCCCAGACUCCUACGGGAGGCAGCAGUGGGGAAUCUUGCACAAUAGGCGGAAGCCUGAUACAGCAGCGCCGCGUGCGUGAUGACGGCCUUUGGGUUGUAAACCGCUUUCGACUGUGCCGAAGAGUGAGUGACGGUACUGAGUAAAAAAGCAACGGCUAACUACGUG
rnacentral:rRNA from 1 species